rnacentral:tRNA from 1 species
UCCGGCGUGGUCUAGUGGCUAGGAUAUCUGGCUUUCACCAAGAAGGCCCCGGGUUUCGAUUCCCGGCGUCGGAA